AUGAGUUAGGGUCUACUUCAGGCCCGAUCUCCCAACCCCCUGUUUAUUAAAUCUGUGUUGCUUCGGCGAGCCCGUCCUCAUAGGACCGCCGGAGGACCACCGAAAGGUGGCCUCUGGCCCGCGCUCGCCGAUGGCCCCAACCACAACAACUCUUGAAUAAACCAUGUCUUGAACUUGUCUGAGUUACAUUUAUGAAAAUAAAGCA
rnacentral:misc_RNA from 1 species